rnacentral:rRNA from 1 species
GAUGAACGCUGGCGGCGUGCCUAACACAUGCAAGUCGAGCGAGAAAUAAAGAAAUGAAGCUUCGGUAGAUUUUCUCUAUGGAAAGCGGCGGACGGGUGAGUAACGCGUAGGCAACCUGCCCUGUACAGGGGGAUAGCCACCCGAAAAGGUGAUUAAUACCCCAUAACGCAAGAGAUACACAUGUAUCACUUGUCAAAGAUUUAUCGGUAUAGGAUGGGCCUGCGUCUGAUUAGCUAGUUGGUAAGGUAACGGCUUACCAAGGCAACGAUCAGUAGCCGACCUGAGAGGGUGAUCGGCCACAUUGGAACUGAGACACGGUCCAAACUCCUACGGGAGGCAGCAGUGGGGAAUAUUGCACAAUGGGCGCAAGCCUGAUGCAGCAACGCCGCGUGAAGGAUGAAGGCCUUCGGGUUGUAAACUUCUGUCCUAGGGGAAGAAACAAAUGACAUUACCCUUGGAGGAAGCC